UGGAUGCCAUUUGGUAUUAGAGGUUUUGACUUCCUAGCUAGAAACACACAAUGAUAAGUGGAGAGAUUUCUGAAUGCUCUUUAUUUUACUUACAAUAAUUGUCAUUAACCAUCAGGAGAGACUGCAUUUAUUUCUAGGGGGCAGCUAGUAAGAAUGUAGCACAGUGCUCUAAUGUCACCACCAAUUAACAAAAGGGCAGUAUAUCAGACUUACCCCAAGGUGAAAGUAUGUGUGUUUUUAAUUUUUGUUGUUGUACUAAAGGGUUGUAAUUUUGGCUGAAGUUUAAAGGUUAGGCUUUAUAAACUGGGUGUGUAUAGUUGUGUGAGUCUGUGAGUGUGUAAGGUUAGCCUUGAUUGCUCUAAAGUAUGUAAAGGGACUUUAGUAAAUGAUCCAUUUGAGAUUCUGUUUUUUUCUUGUGUUACCUUUAAGAGACCUUAAUUAUUUAUUAAUCCAAUCUUUAUUUGUAUUAAUGGUUAAUUUAAUGUCUCCCAAAUAGUUGAUAUGGACAGAAUAGAUGUGAGAAUGCUGGGUUUUUACAAAUUACCCCCAAAUGUAGUGGCUUAAGACUAAAUGAUUUGUUGUUUCUCAUGACUGUAUAGAUCACCUGUGCCCAGCUGACUGGUUCUUCUGCCCAAAUGAUAUAGGCUGGAGUCAGAUGGGUGGCUGUAUUUAGCUGGGGCCUCAGUUGGAACUGGAAUGCCCUUAAUGGCUUCACUUCUGUGUCUGGCACUUAGCUGGAGUGGCCGGAAUAACUAGGGGCUGGCCAGGUCUCCCAUCAUUCAGUAGUCUAGCCUGAGCUGCUUUACAUAGUAGCUUGGCCCCAAAUGGAAGCUGCUAGGUCUUUUAAGACACCUAGCACACAGCCACUUCCACAGCAUUCUGUUGAUCAAAGCAAGUUACAAAGCUAGCCCAGAUUCAGGGGAAGGAAAAAUAGAUUCCACCUCCUGAUGGGAGGAAUUGUUGGUGUCUGUCUUUGUAGACAGUCAACCAAAAACUCUUAAUUAAAUUCAGGUCUUACCUUUUAUACUAACCAAACCUUCAGAGGUUUGCUGAGACCAACAGUGACCAAAGAAGAAGUUUGUAAAAGUGUCCUUGUAAUUUCUACUCAGGAUCAAGGGUGAGGAGAUUGUGUGAGUAAACAUGAUAAGAUAUUUUACUAGUUAUAUAAUAAAUCCUACCCCCUUCACUAUCUCCUUUGUUAAUAGCCCUCUGCAUGAAAUGUUCAUACAGAAUGUUUUCUUCCGGUAUUUGACAUUCACAAAGCACGUUACAUUCCCUUCAUGUGGUAAGAACUUGAUUUGACCACUGAAUUGGAAGCACAAAAAAAGAGUAUUACUGAAGGCUUCACUUUAGUUGCUAUGAGCAGAAGUUGGGAUUUCUUCUCCGUGACCUUCGGAGAAGUAGCGUGAGGUUGUCACUUGAUCAGAGGGCGAUUCAACGUGGCACUGCUACUGAUAAGACUUGGAACCUCACUGGUGGCUUGUGGGAGCCCUUGGUAUUAUAGUAAGUGUUGGGGUGCGGUCUUUGCAUGUUCCUCAGCAGCCACAUAUAUUGAAUUUUAUCAGCUGAUGACUAACGGAUCUCUGCACUGAUGUGUAUUUCUGUAUGUGUUCCUCCAGACAUCAGCCAGAUUCUUGAACAGAGGAUUCUAGUCUUUAUCUAAGACUUCUUUUUCUAUGUGAACCUAUUUCUCCCAAAACAAUUUUUAGUCAUAAGUUUAUCCUUAUGAAACGCUUAUCAAAUGUGUAGGAUAGUGUGUGUGUGUGUGAGAGAGAGAGAGAGAGACAGGAAUGAAAUGUUAGCUUCCAUAUCAAGCCUCAUUUCACUGAUGGAGCUGAGAGUGGAACCAGGGUUCAGUACGAAAAUUCCUUAAUAAGCUUCUACCUUCCAGAACUCCAGUCUUGGAAUUUAUACCAGCUUUUAGUGUGAAGACUUACACACUUGCCUUUUUAUAUUUAACAUUUUUUGAGUUAUGUUGUUACCUUGAGACUGUUCUUUGAGGUAGGCUCUGUUUCACAUAACCGAAACAUUAAAAUAAAUGACCAUAAUAUAACUGGACAAUGUUACACUGUUGGAGGCAUUUAUACAGGAGGUGAGGGCAUGAAAUAUAGCAGGCAGCCUCCUGGGAAUGCAAGAGAAGUUUUCAUGAAUAACUUGGGAUAUACCCAGUGAUCUUGCUUUCAUUUUCUUAGUAUCUGAAAGGGGGGAUCCUCUUAGAAACCCAGUUUGCAGAGCGUGCAUAGUAUGCUGUUAUCUCAAGUAAGAAAAGAAGAUAAUACAGCAUGGAAACUGUCUUGGGUACCCUCCCCUCUCAAGCAUACAGGAGAGAAGGGGAUCAAUUGUAAAGAGUAAAAGAGUCUGCCAUUAUUAGAGGAUGGAAUUAUUCUGUAUCGUGCAUCUAAUACAUUUUUCUGGAAUAGGAGUCUUGCAAACUCAUAGACUUUUCGUAAAAAUUCUGCUAAAACCUCUACAUUGUCGAUUUCUUGAAGAUCAUUGUGCUUGCCCUGUAGGCUGAAGGAGUAGCAGCUUUCCAGCUAAAGGAAAACCUCUUUCUGAACUGUCAGUACUUAGAAAAAGAGACUGUACUCUGAAACCACCAACUAAAUUGAGUAGAGUGUUGGUAGAGAAGUAGAUUCCCAAAAACAGGAGAGCUAAUUAAGGACAGCCAACAUUAAGGUGCCAGUUAAUACACACUCAUUUGAUACCGAAUACCGAGGAAAAUAACAGCAGAGUCCUAAGAUACUUGCAUAGCCUCAUUUGCAGUAGUUUGUUCAGUUUAGGUGAAUAAUGCAGGUACCCUUACUAUGCUACGUACUGCAGGGAGUGCAAAGGUAGUUAAGACCACUAAGGAGCCAGGAUUCUGAGAGGGGGAUUGAGAACGACAUACAAGAAGACACUGGAUAAGGCAGAAUGUAGUUAAGUACUGGUCUAAAGGUGAGAGAGGUUAGUUACUAUAGUGUGAGGAGAGACCAGAAAUGGCUUUGGAGAUGGCCUUUGAAAGCUUAAUUAGGCUUUAAGCAGAAGAUGGGAAGAAAAGAUAAGAGCUAGAGGAAUUUUGAGAGAGUUCCAGUGAGGAGUGACUUAGGGGACCAUGUUUGUGGUGGAAGCUGACAAGUGAUGAGUGAAGAGAAUGAGAGUGAUGCCUAGCAAUGUAGAUUGGCCGAAGUCAUUUAGGGUAGGGCUUUAAUGCCUUGCUAAGGGAUUUAUAGAACUCGAAAAUGGUGUGUGAUUAGAAAUAUGAUUUUGCUGCAUUAUCUAGUCUGGAUUGGAGAACCUGGAGGCCCAGAGGCAGUUCUUUCAGGGAUCCAGUAGAAGGUGCUGAGCACUAAAUGAAGUUGAUGGCUGUGGGCAUGACGGGCAGUUGUAGAGAACAGUGUCAAAUUGCAAUCUUUCUUGUUCUACCAGGAUGUGGUGACUAAUCACAAACAAGAAAACUUGUUCAGCCCCUUCGUUAAACCUGCCCUCACUACUAAUCUGCAGAAGUAAAUAGUGAAGUGAGGUAACAGUUGAACUCUUCAGUUCACUUAAUAGAAAUUUCUGUCCUAGUUGAGUGGAUGAAUUAUCUGCAGCCCUGAACUGAUGAAUGUGCUCUUCUGAGGCCCAUCAGAAGGUAAUGAGGUUUCAAAAUUGAAAAGCAUACAGACUCACUUUGUUUUGUUUGAAUUUUGGAGCUACUAGAACUUCCUAUUGCAUUGGUGAUUUAAAGAAAAAACAAAAAGCCCUCACUCUCCCUAACCUUUGUGCUAAAUGUUUAGAUAUAAUUUGUUUAUAUAGCAUAAGGGAGGAAUUUCUUCAUUCUAAAUGAAAUGAGCAGCAUCAUUAGAAGUUCCCGAGUUAACCAGACUUUAGUCCCGAGGAGGGUUUUAUAGGAAGUGAAAGGCUGUUCAUCUGACCCCUUUGUGCCAGAAUUGUACCUCAGCAGGAGGUAGUUGCAGCUGGAGGUGCUGAGGAAAUGAUUGCUGACCCAGGGAGAUUUCCAUGCUACCUUUUACCACUGCAGCCAGAGAUGUGUACUGCUGAACAAAUAAUUGAAGAAGUUGUGUGGUUUAGGUCAUGUUGGAACUAGCAAAAAUCUCUGAAAUCUGCUCUACUAGCAUUGCUGUUAUCAGUAAUCACAGGGAAUUGUUUUACUGAGUUUCACACCAAACUUGAUACCAUCACAAUUACAUUUUGGAUGUACUUGAGUUGUCUGUGUUUCAGCUAAUAGCGUUAUGUACUCCCUGGGAGAUGAUGAUGCAACAAAUCAGGUGGCUGGAGAUAAUUAGAAUUUGAAUGUGACUCUGGCUUUCCCAUCUUUAUGAAAAUGAAUGGGAAGAGAGGUUAAUCACCACGAAUAAACUGCAUGUCAGCAAGCUCUGAGCAAGGUGCUGCCCUUAGAACACACUGUUGCUCUAGUAGACUGUUUUUGGAUGUGUUUCCAGCUGAUAUUAGGGGAGCAGUCUCCAGUUUGGGUGGGAGUGUCUCAGCCUGAAUCGUUUGUCCUAUCUUUUGUAUUGGUUUUAUUUCUUCAAUUAAUGGUUUGAGUUGUUAAAUGAAUUGGAGAGUGAAGCAACACCCUGUUAUCUUCUUGUCAUCUUUGUCUUAGCCCAGUGCAUGCUGCCUGUAGGCAUGUAGCAAAGUGAGCUUGUGCAUGUUUUUAAAUGGCCCUGUGGAGUGGAAAGCAACCUGUCAGCAUGCAAAUGAGGCUGAAUUGUAUGUUCUUGACACCCUUGCAAAAAUCUUGUAUUUGGAAUCUUUUAGCUUCAGAAUUGACCAGAGGGUGUUGUGCCCCACACUGGAAGCAGCACUUCUUUAUGUCUGUGGCAUCAGUAUCUUUGUUAUGUGCCUGACCAGUCCAGAUUUCAUGGUGUUGCUCUAGUACCAGGUUUCAUUAGUUUUCUGGUCAUGUUCUACUAAUAGCCAGAUGGUAUAGCGAUAUGUUUUUCCUUUACUUAAUUUAUCCAGAUUUGAUUAUCCAUAUUUUACAGGGUUUUUAGUUUUGAAAAAUAAUUAGUAGAAGACUGAUUAAGUAGAGAUAUAUAUCUGGGUGUUUGUUGUAUUUAAAUACAUGAAUAGCAGAUAUGACAUGUCCAGGAUUGCUAGGUAUUUGAAUUUGGAGAGGGAGUUAUUACUCUCCUCUGUACCCUCUUUGGCAUUUUUAGGAGUUCCUAUGUUAUAACGUGUCAUAAAACUUAUAUUUGGAGGAGAUAACUGAAAAGUUACCAAAUACUGGUGGUUUUGGAUAUUCAAAAGUCCUUUAUGGAUUUUGAAAGGUAAAAAUGAAAGUUAAGGAGUUAUGCAUAUCUCAAUGUUUUACUUUUUUGUGCUUUUUCCUAUUGUUUUGGUUUCUAGGAAUUGGUAGCCAUCCAAAUGGCUCCUAGAUGGCUCUGCACCCUAUUAAAACGGAAUUGUGGGAGGCACCUCAGUGAAGAAAUGGACCAGUGUGUAUAAUCAUGGAAUCUCCUUGCUGACAAUCACCACCUGCUCUCCUUGAUAAGUGAGAGAGAGUAGUCAGGGGAGAAGGAAAAGAGGUCACCAUGAAGCUAAAGCAGCGAGUCGUGCUGUUAGCAAUUCUCCUUGUCAUCUUUAUCUUCACCAAAGUUUUCCUGAUUGACAACUUAGAUACAUCAGCUGCCAACCGGGAGGACCAGAGGGCCUUUCACCGAAUGAUGGCUGGCUUGCGGGUAGAGCUGGUGUCCAAGCUGGACCACACCUUGCAGUCUCCCUGGGAGAUUGCAGCCCAGUGGGUGGUUCCCCGGGAAGUGUACCCUGAAGAGACACCAGAGCUGGGGGCAAUCAUGCAUGCCAUGGCCACCAAGAAAAUCAUUAAAGCUGAUGUAGGUUAUAAAGGGACACAACUGAAAGCCUUACUGAUACUUGAAGGAGGACAGAAAGUUGUCUUCAAACCUAAGCGGUAUAACCGAGACUAUGUGGUAGAAGGGGAACCUUAUGCUGGUUAUGAUAGACACAAUGCAGAGGUAGCAGCCUUUCAUUUGGACAGGAUUCUGGGUUUCCGCCGAGCCCCCUUGGUGGUUGGCAGAUUUGUUAAUCUGCGGACAGAGAUCAAGCCUGUUGCCACGGAGCAGCUCUUGAGCACCUUCCUAACUGUAGGAAAUAAUACUUGUUUCUAUGGGAAGUGUUAUUAUUGCCGAGAAACAGAGCCAGCCUGUGCUGAUGGAGACACGAUGGAGGGGUCUGUCACGCUUUGGCUUCCAGAUGUGUGGCCUCUACAGAAACACAGACACCCAUGGGGCAGGACUUACCGAGAGGGCAAAUUAGCCAGGUGGGAGUAUGAUGAGAGCUACUGUGACGCUGUGAAGAAAACGUCCCCUUAUGACUCUGGCCCUCGCCUCUUGGACAUCAUUGAUACAGCUGUCUUUGAUUACCUGAUUGGCAAUGCUGACCGCCAUCACUACGAGAGUUUUCAAGAUGAUGAAGGCGCUAGUAUGCUCAUCCUUCUCGAUAAUGCCAAAAGCUUUGGGAACCCCUCGCUGGAUGAGAGAAGCAUUCUUGCCCCUCUCUAUCAGUGUUGCAUCAUUCGGGUUUCUACCUGGAACAGACUGAACUCCCUGAAGAAUGGUGUGCUGAAGUCUGCCUUAAGAUCUGCCAUGGCCCAUGACCCCAUCUCCCCAGUGCUCUCUGAUCCUCACCUAGACGCUGUGGACCAGCGGCUCCUGAGUGUCCUGGCCACCGUGAAGCAGUGCACUGACCAGUUUGGGAUGGACGCAGUGCUGGUGGAAGACAGGAUGCCUCUCUCCCACUUGUAAUUCUCCACAAAAUAAGUGAAACUUCUUUUUACAAAGAUAGAGAAACAGCACAAUCAAUUCCGAAUGGUAUGAGGUGGAUUGGAAAUGGCCAGCAGCACAUUCUGGUGAUAGGGGACAGGGUGGCCUUGGUGUUUGCUGUAGUAGAAGUUGAAGCAAAGACUACAAGUUUCAGACCACGGAGCUGUACCUGCUGAACCACCUUCUGACUUCCUCGGCGUAUGCCCAUUCUAGCAGUGGGCGUCACGGUUGCUUCCGUAUUCUUGUUUGACCAUUACCUGACCACACCUCAAAUGAUGGUAAACAGCAUCUAUCAGUGAGCUGUCUUAUGUGAGUCGUCUUGUGAGCUUGGGCUUCAGGAAACAUGAGUCAAGGUAUAUGUAUAUAUAUAGUCAUAUAUGUAUUCUAACAAGAAAAAAUGUAUUUAUUUUGACACAGGGAAACACUGUUGCUGAAGAACCUGAAGCUAGGAAAAGGUUCUCUUAGUCUCUGAGAGUGAAUCUAAGUGACAUAAAGAUAUCCGUUCAGCAAACACCUCCUGUGCUAGCCAGGGCCGACGCCCGAGGCACAUAGACCAGCCUCAUGAGACUGUUGUGCAGGGGAAGGCCAGCUUUCCCCCUUCGACGCCUCAAGUCUGGGUUGAAAAGGUGAGGGCUGGAUACUCUACUGCCACAGGGUUUUAAGGAACUAAGGUGUUACUCACAAAUACAAAAUGUCUGUGGGGGAACUGGGAAUAACUUACUGGGAAGUUAAUUUAUUUGCUUCAAAGAGAGGUGUAGGAACCACUACCCUCUGUUUUGAUCUGCCAAGGAUUUCCUCUCAGAGCUGUUGCACAAAUAGAGGUUGUGCUUGGUAAGAUACCAAACAAGACAGAUAUGCACCUAAAUUUCUAAUGUGUUCUGUGGGUUUCAAUUCUGAAAGAAAGAAAAUGAAUAAAGAUUUUAAUAAGUA